UUGCAUGUGGGGAACUCUUAUUCUGCCCUUUAUUCUUUGGGGACUAAGACUAUCCGUGGGGUGCUAUACAAAAUAAAGGCAUUUUCAGGGCUGCUAGGUAUGCAGUGAAGAUUAAAUGAUAGUCUAUUUCUCCUACAAAA